rnacentral:sRNA from 1 species
GCGUUUCCCUUUGAAAACGCGAGGUCACCUGGACUGCCCCUGAAGGGAAGACCUGCUAUGUGACCCAGGAGCAGCCCGGCGCGGACCCAGAAAUUGAAGCCAAGGAAGCUUGUGAUUGGCUACGGGCAACUGGUUUCCCCCAGUAUGCACAGCUUUAUGAAGAUUUCCUGUUCCCCAUCGAUAUUUCCUUGGUCAAGAGAGAGCAUGAUUUUUUGGACAGAGAUGCCAUUGAGGCUCUAUGCAGAGUGACGAUUCAGACGAGGAUGAGCCUUGUGCCAUCAGUGGCAAAUGGACUUUCCAAAGGGACAGCAAGAGGUGGUCCCGGCUUGAAGAGUUUGAUGUCUUUUCUCCAAAACAAGACCUAGUCCCUGGGUCCCCAGACGACUCCCACUCGAAGGACAGCCCCAGCCCCGGAGGCACACUGAUGGACCUCAGCGAGCGCCAGGAGGUGUCCU